rnacentral:pre_miRNA from 13 species
GCCCGCACGGGAAAAUGCAUUAUCCGUGCGGGCGGGUUAAGACGCCCGCACGGGAUAAUGCAUUUUUCCGUGCGGGC